AAGAUACUAGUAAAACUAUUACACUACUUUGUCAAGGUAGAAUUGUAGGUUAGACCCCUGCGUUUCUUA
rnacentral:tRNA from 1 species